CUGGGAGAAGGGGUGUUGGCCAUGCCAGAGGUAGGCACAAAAUAAGACGAGACCAUCCUUCAGCUCACCCCCGGACCUCACAGAAACAAGUUGAAUGUUACGGGCUACAUCUUGCUUGUUUACUCCACACCAGUUGCUUGCAGGAGAGCAGGAUUUGGGCCCGGGGUAUUUAACAUGGCUCUUCCGGUCUCAUUAAUCACUAGAUGGUAGAAAGCGUGAGAUCUAAAUCCGUGACCGCUCCCUCCGGAGAUCCGGGGCUGAGGCGGCUAGGAUUUUAGCAGUACACUGAUUAUAUACCCGCGCUGCCUACUUAACCAAACUGCACCCGAGGGCUAAAUUAACCGACCUAAAUAAUUCAGUUAUCCCACACAGAAUGAAAGGCGAGAGCCCCUGCAUUGUUCUGGAAAUAUGCAAUUUAAUGCAGAUAGCACAGAACACCUUAGUCAAUUUCAAAUCCCGCCUCCUCGCUUUCACUUGCUCUACAGGAAAACCAGCCUGUGAGAAAACCCUUGUCUGUGUGACAUUGUUGCUUGCACGGUAAGGAUCCUUCUGACACCUACACAGAGGUGCUGCUGUGCCUCCAGAUGUCAUGUCCCAGAACCUUGUGUUUCAGGAGGGAAGGUAGCUGCAGGCUCCGGUGAUCCAAGAGAGAAAUCGCUGGGCAGCCGCUGUUGCGGCUGCUGCAGCAUCUGGAUGGGUGUGCAGCAAAGAUUUGCUGAUGCCUCUCACGUAGUAUUUUGCAGGAAGUUUCCAUACUUCUUCAAUUCAGUCGGUAGAAGGGGGAUUGGAGGGAAGCGGGGCUGAAUCAUCCAAAAGGGUUUUUUCUUUUUCGUUCUUUUAUUUUUAUUUAUUUUUUUUAACCCAGUUCGAGAAUUUCCAACCACAUCUUAACCAAGUGUUUGGAGAGGAGUCCCCGAGCGAUGCGUCCAUCCGUCUGAAGAAACGCCCACCGAUGACCCCUAGAGCCUCCGGAGGUGGUUGCUGGGGAUGUGUAGCCUGGGGAGCCUCAUUGGGUUUGUGGCCACAAGGGAGAAUCCCAGCAGGCGUAGACUCAAUCCUGAGCUUUCAACAGCUUGAGAACCUACACUGUGAGCCACUGCAACUUCUGCAGUUCAUCAGCAUGGGGCGAGAAGACAAGGAAGAACAGGUGUCCCUGGACUCCUGGAAGGGGAACUUUCUUCUUGGCUGGAUCCUGUUACAUAUAACUGAUUUGGGCAACAAUUUGAGAAUUCUGUGA
rnacentral:lncRNA from 1 species